UGCGCUCCUCUUAUGACAGAUUAUGUCAUUCCUUUUGUGUAACAAGUGGCCUUCGGAGUCACAUGUUUCCCUGCGUGCGCUGGUGGUUGUUACAGUGCACUGCACCGCUGCUGCGUGGGUCACAGGGGGUUGUUUGGGAAAACUGAAACGUGGUGGCCUCGUUCUGCAGCCCGAGAUAAAAAAAAAAAACAACAAAAAACAACCACCUGGAAAACAGUAUGCUGGAAACAACGAGUUUUGCUCUCUGGGCUCAAGGGGUCCGGAGCCGCCACAGCUGCAGAACCCUGGGUCGACCCCGACGAGCCCUGACCUGGAGCUUGACCCUGGGUGUCCCUCCUCUGAGAGAUGGAAAGCUUCUUCUUUCGAGGUCGCCCCUUCAGGUUCGGAGCUGAGGGAGAACAGAAAGACAAGAUGAGAUUUAUCUAUUUAGGCCGGAAAUAAAUCACAUCACCUAGUGUGAUAUCUUUUUUUUUUUACCAUGGUGUAGCAACACCCCCAUUGUUGUGUAUAAGCUGCUGUAAAAAAAA